AACGAACGCUGGCGGCAGGCUUAACACAUGCAAGUCGAGCGAGACCUUCGGGUCUAGCGGCGGACGGGUGAGUAACGCGUGGGAACGUGCCCUUCUCUACGGAAUAGCCCCGGGAAACUGGGAGUAAUACCGUAUACGCCCUUUGGGGGAAAGAUUUAUCGGAGAAGGAUCGGCCCGCGUUGGAUUAGGUAGUUGGUGGGGUAAUGGCCCACCAAGCCGACGAUCCAUAGCUGGUUUGAGAGGAUGAUCAGCCACACUGGGACUGAGACACGGCCCAGACUCCUACGGGAGGCAGCAGUGGGGAAUCUUAGACAAUGGGGGCAACCCUGAUCUAGCCAUGCCGCGUGAGUGAUGAAGGCCUUAGGGUUGUAAAGCUCUUUCAGCUGGGAGGAUAAUGACGGUACCAGCAGAAGAAGCCCCGGCUAACUCCGUGCCAGCCGCCGCAGUAA
rnacentral:rRNA from 1 species